rnacentral:snRNA from 1 species
GUGCUCGCUUCAGCAGCACAUAUACUAAAAUUGGAAUGAUACAGAGACGAUUAGCACAGCCCCUGCGCAUGCAAAUUUGUGAAGAAAAACCAUUUCUA